ACUUUUAAAGGGACACAGUCUACCCACCAAUCUUAGGCAUUGGAAACUCU
rnacentral:tRNA from 1 species